rnacentral:lncRNA from 1 species
CUCAAACUUGAGGGAAUCCUUCUGCCUCAGCCUCUCAAGUGCUGGGAUUACAGAUUUAGCUCUGAUGAGUCGUGCUGUUAGAAACAUGGGUAUCAAACGCAGGCAUCACUGUGCUAUGAGGUCUUUAACUCUUUUGGGAAGAUGCUAGGGACCCUCCCAGCGGUCAGGAACACCCACAGCGAAAGCAGAAGAUGCAGCCCUGACCACUGUCUCUGCGGCAGGAAGUCGGUGAGCAAGGCCAAGGGUCCAGAUUGGUGACCCGACUUUCCCAAGGCCACCCAACAGCAGGACCAGGACCCGAGGUCAGGUCACCUCCCUCGACUGGGCACAGGCACCCUCACAGCAUGGCGGCCACAAGCCUACCUGUUUGGGAAACAUGUUUUUGCCAGGCAUGGUGCACACCUA